rnacentral:rRNA from 1 species
UACAGAGGUCUCAAGCGUUGUUCGGAUUCAUUGGGCGUAAAGGGUGCGUAGGUGGCAUGGUAAGUCGGAUGUGAAAUCCCGGGGCUCAACCCCGGAACUGCAUUCGAUACUGCUGCGCUAGAGUACUGGAGAGGAGAUUGGAAUUUACGGUGUAGCAGUGAAAUGCGUAGAUAUCGUAAGGAAGACCAGUGGCGAAGGCGGAUCUCUGGACAGUUACUGGACACUGAGGCACGGAAGGCCAGGGGAGCAAACCGGG